AUUGAACGCUGGCGGCAGGCUUAACACAUGCAAGUCGAGCGAGCGGCGGACGGGUGAGUAAUGUCUGGGAAACUGCCUGAUGGAGGGGGAUAACUACUGGAAACGGUAGCUAAUACCGCAUACCCUCAGAUGUGCCCAGAUGGGAUUAGCGAGUGGGUGGGGUAAUGGCUCGCCUAGGCGACGAUCCCUAGCUGGUCGGAGAGGAGGACCAGCCACACGGGAACGGAGAAACGGCCCAGACGCCUACGGGAGGCAGCAGUGGGGAAUAUUGGACAAUGGGCGAAAGCCGGAGGCAGCCAUGCCGCGGGUGUGAAGAAGGCUUUCGGGUUGUAAAGCACUUUCAGCGAGGAGGCGUUACUCGCAGAAGAAGCACCGGCUAACUCCGUGCCAGCAGCCGCGGUAAUAC
rnacentral:rRNA from 1 species